CGCACACGCAUAACCACAAACACACCCUAAAAAAGAAAUACAUAAAAAAUGAAACUUACAUUAAUUAGAGAUUGGCAGCUGCUGGGCCUUCCCAGGCCAUCAUCAUGUCAAAUAUAAGGCGUCGAGACUUUUUAUCAGCCAGAUGACCCAUUACUUGAGUAGACAGAGCAAGAGCCCUGAAACAGCAGUAAUACGAGAAGUUCCUCGCAUACCGUGACUUAUGCUUUAUAGAAUCACAUUAAUGUCAACAAACUAAGAAAUAUUAUUUAUUUUGAAGUGAUUUUUUUUAUUAUAAAGUUGGAGUGCAAAGCCAAACUUAGGUAGCUGACGACUGUAGCCUUCCCUUCCAUACCAUUAUUUGGGUGUUACGAUUUUGCUUGAAAUCAAUCAACGAUGCAGUCACAGACACUUAAAAGGUCCAUAUCUCGCUCUCCCUCUGCCUGGUACUCUCCGCCAUUUCCUCACCACCAUAACCCCAUUCUCACUACCCUCUCUCACGCAAUUGGCAACUCCCCGACAAAGCCUCUUCACGUUUCUCUCAGUAAACUCCUUCCUUCCCUUACUCCCUCUCAUGUCGUCGACCUCAUCGUCCUCAAUCCUUACUCAUUAUCACCGCACUCCCUCUUCUCCUUUUUCAAGUUCCUUUCUUCCCACCCCACUUUUCGCCACACGCUUCAUUCUUAUUCCGCCAUGUCCCAUUUCCUUGUUGCCCACAAUAUGCUCCCUCAAGCACGAUUUCUUCUCAACUUUUUAGUCUCUCGCAAAGGGAAAGACUCGGCUUCUUCGAUUUUUGCUUCGGUUCUCGAAACUAAAGGUACCUAUCAGUGUGAUUUUGUUUUUGAUUCCUUAAUGAUUGCGUAUACGGAUUUGGGUUUUGUUUCUGAUGCUAUUCAGUGCUUUAGAUUGGUAAGGAAGCAUAAACUUAGAGUACCAUUUCGGGGUUGUAAAUAUUUGUUUGAUAGAAUGAUGAAGAUAAGUUCUCCGAUUGUCAGUUUGGGAUUUUAUAUGGAGAUUUUGGAUUAUGGAUUCCCACCCAAUGUGUAUAGUUUUAAUAUUUUGAUGAAUAAAUUGUGUCGAGAAGGUCUAAUUAAAGAUGCCCAAAUGGUGUUUGAUGAAAUUGCAAGGAGAGGUUUGCAUGCUUCAGUUGUCAGUUUCAAUACUUUGAUCAACGGAUAUUGUAAAUCAGGGAAUUUAGACGAAGGGUUUAGGUUGAGAAGUGCUAUGGAGGAAGCUGGGAUCCGUCCUGAUGUUUUUACUUACAGUGUUUUGAUCAAUGGAUUGUGUAAAGAGAGUAGGUUGGACAAAGCAAAUGAACUGUUUGAAGAAAUGUGUAACAGAGGGUUGAUCCCAAAUGAUGUUAUUUUCACUAGCUUAAUUGAUGGAAUGUGCAAAAAUGGAAGAACUGAUUUAGCCAUGGGAACAUAUCAGCAGUUUUUGACAAAAGCAUUCAAGCCAGAUUUGAUUAUGUACAAUUCACUUAUAAAUGGUCUAUGCAAGGCUGGGGAUCUAAAAGGGGCAAAGAAGCUUAUUGCUGAGAUGAGCUUGAGAGGUUUAAAACCUGACAAGUUCACGUACACAAUACUAUUAGAUGGAUUUUGUAAAGAGGGAGAUAUGGAGUCAGCAUUGGGGAUUAGAGUGGAAAUGAUUAAACAAGGGAUUAAGCUUGAUGAUGUGGCUUUCACAGCCCUUAUUUCAGGGUUAUGUAAAGAGGAAAGACACCUUGAUGCUGAAAGAGCAUUGAGGGAGAUGUUAGACGCUGGUAUGAAACCAGAUGCUGCUGCCUAUACUAUGGUCAUGGAUGGAUUUUGUAAGAAGGGUGAUGUAAGGAUGGGUUUUAAGCUGCUUAAGCUGAUGCAGAGUGAUGGCCAUGUGCCUGGUGUUGUAACCUACAAUGUGCUUAUGAAUGGACUUUGCAAACAGGGGCAACUAAGAAAUGCUAAUAAGCUGUUAGAUAAUAUGCUUAAUCUAGGGGUGGUUCCAGACACUAUUACAUACAACAUUCUAUUAGAUGGUCAUUGCAAGAAGGCAAAUCCAAAAGAUUUCGGCAAGUUAAAAAGUGAGAUGGGGCUUGUAGCAGAUUAUGCCUCGUAUAGUUCACUAAUUAGCAAGAUCAGUGGAACAUCAAAACAUCAUUCAAGGAGAUAACACUUUUUUGAGCAGGUUAGCUCGGUGUAUAGUUAUAAGAUGAAUGGACAAACAUGAAUUCUGUUUUUCUUUUGUAGCAAGCUGUGGACUUCGAUGCAGUUGGAUUACCUUUGAUCUACUAGAUGGCUUGGUUAUUGAGAUUCUUGACAGUGAACCUUAUCUAACAUCUGGUUCAAAAGGUUGGAGUUCACAAGGCAACAUGACAGAUUUAGACAUUGAGCAUCAGAUGAAGCCAUUCCAAUACAAUUUGUUGGACAUCUUUUCUCAAAAUGCAUAAGAUAUUUAGAAGCCUAUACAGCUACUGUCCAGGAACCCCAACAUGGUUUAGCCCCCAAGCUAGUAACAGAGCCAUGCCUGAGCCAAGACCCAAGAUUUAAAUCGGGUUUGGAUAAAAUGUGAGGCAUCUGAUUGAGUCAGUUCGGCAUGAAGAUAGCUAAGGGUCUCAUGGAUUUUCCACAAGCAUUGUUUUCAUGUUACAGAAAAGGUUGCAGAGACCUAUGGCGACUGAAGAUAAACUUGGUCUUUAGCUCUAAUUUAAAUAUUGGCAUGCUGUUGUUAUUGAACGGGAUUUUCAUGAGUCGACUCAGAACUUUCUUCCCUCCAGAAGACAGCAUCAAAUCUGCUCUUUCAUUUUAUGAUACUCUAAAGUCUACAUACUUUCUUAACAAA